rnacentral:rRNA from 1 species
CUACACUGAUGCAUGCAACGAGUUCUUGACCUUGGCCGGAAGGUCUAGGUAAUCUUUUGAGUGUGCAUCGUGAUGGGGAUAGAUUAUUGCAAUUAUUAAUCUUCAACGAGGAAUGCCUAGUAGGCGUAAGUCAGCAGCUUGCGCCGAUUACGUCCCUGCCCUUUGUACACACCGCCCGUCGCUGCAACCGAUCGGAGGGUCCUGUGAACUCAAUGGACUGAUCAACUCCUUUUUGGGUGUUGGUCGGGAAGUUGCGUAAAUAGAGCCCUCUAAAGGAUGCAAAAGUCGUAACACGGUUUCCGUAGGUGAACCUGCGGAAGGAUCAUUC